UUCCACCCAAAUAUCAACAAAUGGCAGCAUUUGUCUUGACAUUCUAAAGGAGCAAUGGAGUCCUGCCUUAACCAUUUCCAAGGUCUUGCUUUCAAUCUGUUCGCUUUGACGGACCCGGACCCAGACGCAUCCCCUGGUGCCAGAAAUCGCUCAUAUGUACAAGACCGACCGGCCAAGUACGAGGCAACUGCGAGGAGCUGACCCAGAAGUAUGCCAUGGGCUAGGGGCUACUUUGCUGCAACCUAUUACCAAGGAACUGUCCGUUGUUGUCUUUCGCUGUGUGAGUUGAAGGUGAGGCCUGCAAUUUAUUAUGACUGGCAAGCAAUAUAUGUGUGUCUAGUUUGGUCUGUCGUGCAAAUGAGGACACUGGAUAUUUCCCGGCCUGUCUGAACCACCAAAACUGUAGUUGAAUGUUGUAAAGUCGAUGCUGUUUUCUUC